UGGGGGGGAGGGGGGGCACAUCCGGCGUCUCCUCCCUCCCCUUGUGUGUGAGAGGAAGAUGACCAGGUACGACGAAGAUGACCUGACCUGGAGGGGUUUCGCGUCGUGGGUCACCUGUGGGUCAUCCGGUGUAGGGUGUUCACGGUAACGAGGAAAAUAAGCCCCGCCCCUUUCCCUUUUAAAUGCAUAUCAUUGGCCAAUCCAUAAGGAAGCCAUUCUAUCUCUAAUUCAAGUUACUUCUGAUUGGUGGAUGAUUGGAAAAGUUAGAUGGCACUGGCGGAUGUAGAGGAAGGUUAGAUGUUACAGGUGGAUGCUGGGAAAGGUUAGAUGUUAAAGGUGGAUGCUGGGAAAGGUUAGAUGUUACUAGUGGAUGCUGGGAAAGGUUAGAUGUUACUGGUGGAUGCUGGGAAAGGUUAGAUGUUACUGGUGGAUGCUGGGAAAGGUUAGAUGUUACUGGUGGAUGCUGGGAAAGGUUAGAUGUUACUGGUGGAUGCUGGGAAAGGUUAGAUGUUACUGGUGGAUGCUGGGAAAGGUUAGAUGUUACUGGUGGAUGCUGGGAAAGGUUAGAUGUUACUGGUGGAUGCUGGGAAAGGUUAGAUGUUACUGGUGGAUGCUGGGAAAGGUUAAAUUCUAUUGAUGUAUGCAGGUCUGACUUUAGUGUAAGUAGCGGGCUUGUUUUUUUUUUUUUCAUUAUUGUUUUUAUUUUUGUUUACGCCGUUGAACU